GUGAUUAUUAUGACUGAGAAACUGAAUUUUAAAUUUUAAAUUAGUUUUAAAAAUUUUAAUUAAAUUUAAGUAGCCCUCUGCAGCUAUUGGCUUCUGUAUUGGAUAGUACAGCUUUAGAAUGAUUGUCAGCAUUAAUAGUACCAAGGUAGUGGUGAAGAUUAAAAUGCAAUAUGAAGGCUUCAGAGCACCUAGCACUGGGCUUGGCAUAUAGUAUAUACCUAGUAAGUAGUCACCUUUUUAUCAAAUUGAAACUUGGAAAUGGUAAAAAAUGAGAUGUAUGUAAGGGGACAGUGUGUAAAAACUAGUGAAGUGCUGUAAAGAGCUACCAGUAAUUAUUGGCACUUGCCCCAAAUAGUGUCCUUCUGACCUGAGAAUUUCAUAUUAACUUAAUCCUCAGGGAAUUUAGUGAUCAUCAGGGUAGCAUCUAUUCCAUUUGUUUAACUGGAAGAAUUGUUAUCUGCAAGCUUCUCAGAGGAAAGUUAUGGUUUGUGCUUUUGUUCUGGCAAGUAACAUGGGAAGCAAAAUCUUUAACACAAAUUUGUUUUUUUCUUAGCUUGAAGGAUGCCAAUGAUGUACCAAUCCAGUGUGAAAUCUCUCCUCUUAUCUCCUAUGCUGGAGAAGGAUUAGAAAGUUAUGUGGCAGAUAAAGAAUUCCAUGCACCUCUAAUCAUCGAUGAGAAUGGAGUUCAUGAGCUGGUGAAAAAUGGCAUUUGAACCAGAUACCAAGUUUUGUUUGCCACGAUAGGAAUAGCUUUUAUUUUUGAUAGACCAACUGUGAACCUACAAGACGUCUUGGACAACUGAAGUUUAAAUAUCCACAGGAUUUUAUUUUGCUUGUUGAACUCUCACAGCUAUUGCAAACUUCCCAAGAUCCAGAUGACUGAAUUUCAGAUAGCAUUUUUAUGAUUCCCAACUCAUUGAAGGUCUUAUUUAUAUAUUUUUUUCCAAGCCAAGGAGACCAUUGGCCAUCCAGGAAAUUUCGUACCGCUGAAAUAUAGGCAGGAUGUUCAACAUCAGUUUACUUGGAGCUGGAAGCAUUUGUUUUUGAAGUUGUACAUAGUAAUAAUAUGUCAUUGUACAUGUUGAAAGGUUUCUAUGGUACUAAAAGUUUGUUUUAUUUUAUCAAACAUUAAGCUUUUUUAAGAAAAUA
rnacentral:sRNA from 1 species